rnacentral:lncRNA from 1 species
GGUUCGUUUUCUCAUCAACAAUCAAUGAAAUCAUCAUGUUUACUGGUGAAUUGAUCAAUUGAAACUGAUUUUAAACUUGAAUUGAAGCAACCCCUUCGUUUCCAGACCCACCCCCUUAUUACUCGGCAAUUGAACGCCUUUGUUGGUGGAGAAGGUUCGUUGGCAUCUGGGUUGGGUCGAAAUCUCUUGCACAGUCUUCUUCUUAAGCGAUCUGAAAUGGUUUGUGGGACAGUUCUUAUGUAGUUAUAGCACCCUACCAAUGUAUGCACUCGAUACGCAGAUAGAAGAGUUCUGUGAUAGUGUGAUGAUACAAAGAAGAGUUCUAUCAAGGUUUUGAUCUCUAUGUAUACCUCUGGAUAGUUGGUUUUGAUCUCUAUGUAUACCUCUAGAUAGUUGGGUUUAUGGUAGUGGUUCCGUGUUCUGAGUACGGGAAUCGAGUUAAAAAGCUGGAUUCUAUAAACCUCUACGGUGAUAAAGAUCAAUGGGUCUGGAUUGGCGGAAAAGAUAGCGAUUUUUCAGUUGGAGUGGUCAAAAGGUUCUUGAGAAGUGAGAGAGAUUGCAGUAACAACUUUGUUCUCAAGUGGUCGAAACAGGUGCCAAAGAAAUGCAGUAUAUUGGUGUGGUGUGCUGAGAUGGGGAGGAUCCCGACAGUUGACGUGCUUUUAAAACGAAACUGCUACAACGGAGAAGACAUGUGUGUUUUAUGUGAAGACAGCUGAUCAUCUCUUCUGUAGCUGUUACGUGGCUGCUGUGUUAUGGAAUCGGGUCAGUCUCUGGUGCAAGAUAAGUCCCAUCUACGCUUUUUUGGUUAAAGACUUUCUGGAAAUUUACAAGUACGCAGGUUUGAAGAAGCAUGAGGAAGAUAUCAUGCAUGGUAUUAUUAUGGUCGGCUGCUGGAUCUUAUGGAAAAGGAGGAACAACAUCAGGUUUUCUGGCAUUAGCGUCUAUAUUGGUAAAAUCUUUCAAGAUGUUAUGGUGCUUGGUUUUUUUUGGUAUAGGAGUAGAUCUA